rnacentral:rRNA from 1 species
CCCUUAGAUGUCCGGGGCUGCACGCGCGCUACACUGUAGAAAGCAGCGUGCUUUAAAACCUUUCCUGAAAAGGAUGGGUAACCCCAGCAAAAUUCUACGUGCUUGGGAUAGAGAUUUGCAAUUUUCUCUCUUGAACGAGGAAUUCCCAGUAAGUGCGAGUCAUCAGCUCGCGUUGAUUACGUCCCUGCCCUUUGUACACACCGCCCGUCGCUACUACCGAUUGGGAAAAUUUUAGAGAGUCCUGGACCGAUGAUUGUUCGGCUUCACGGCCUUACUUUCGUCGGGAAAGAAUUCGAUAAUAUUUUUCUAGAGGAAGUAAAAGUCGUAACA